GAUGAACGCUGGCGGCGUGCCUAAUACAUGCAAGUCGAGCGAACGGACGAGAAGCUUGCUUCUCUGAUGUUAGCGGCGGACGGGUGAGUAACACGUGGAUAACCUACCUAUAAGACUGGGAUAACUUCGGGAAACCGGAGCUAAUACCGGAUAAUAUUUUGAACCGCAUGGUUCAAAAGUGAAAGACGGUCUUGCUGUCACUUAUAGAUGGAUCCGCACUGCAUUAGCUAGUUGGUAAGGUAACGGCUUACCAAGGCAACGAUGCAUAGCCGACCUGAGAGGGUGAUCGGCCACACUGGAACUGAGACCGGGUCCAGCCUCCUACGGGGGGCACAAGGAGGGAUUCUUCGGCAAGGGGCAAAGGCCUGACGGGGCAACGCCGCGUGAGUGAGGAAGGUCUUCGGAUCGUAAAACUUUUUUAUUGGGGAAAAACAUAUGUGAAAGAAACUGUCCACAUCUGGCGGUUACCUAAUAAGAAACCCACGACAACCCCGGUC
rnacentral:rRNA from 1 species